CGAGUGGACACGACGGCCGCCGCGCCGAGGCCGUUUGACGGCGCACCCGGCGGGGAGGAAAGUCCGAGCUGCACAGGGCAGGGUGCUGGAUAACGUCCAGUGGGGGCAACCUUAAGGAAAGUGCCACAGAAAACAAACCGCCGGCGGUCAAGACCGCGGGGAAGGAUGAAACGGUGCGGCAAGAGCGCACCAGAAGCUUGGUGACAAGCUUGCUUGGCAAACCCCACCCGCAGCAAGACCAAAUAGGGGAAGGAUGACGCGGCCCGCCGACUUCCCGGGUUGGUCGCUCGAGGCGUCGGGCAACUGGCGCCCUAGAUAGAUGGUCGUCCACGACAGAACUCGGCUUAUGGUCGACUCGCAUG
rnacentral:RNase_P_RNA from 1 species